AAUGAACGCUGGCGGCGUGCUUAACACAUGCAAGUCGCGCGAGAAAGGGGGGGCAACCCCCUGAGUAGAGCGGCAGACGGGUGAGUAACACGUGGGUAACCUACCCUUGAGUGGGGAAUAACCCCGCGAAAGCGGGGCUAAUACCGCAUAACAUCGACCGGUCCUCGGGCUGGCCGAUCAAAGCUUGCCUCUGCGUGCAAGCUGGCGCUCGAGGUGGGGCCCGCGGCCGAUUAGCUAGUUGGUAGGGUAACGGCCUACCAAGGCGACGAUCGGUAGCCGGCCUGAGAGGGUGACCGGCCACACUGGAACUGAGACACGGUCCAGACUCCUACGGGAGGCAGCAGUGAGGAAUAUUGGGCAAUGGGCGAAAGCCUGACCCAGCGACGCCGCGUGGAUGAUGAAGGCCUUCGGGUCGUAAAAUCCUGUCGAGAGGGAAGAAAUGGCCGCUCGUUAACAGCGAGCGGCCCUGACUGUACCUCUGGAGGAAGCCCCGGCUAACUCCGUGCCAGCCGCCGCCGUAAAAC
rnacentral:rRNA from 1 species